UCUGCCUGUAACUGUGUGUGUGUUUUACUGUCUGCCAAUAACGGGGUGUGUGUGUGUGUGACUGUCUACCUGUAACUAUGUGUGUGUGUGUGUGUGUGACUGUCUGCCUCUAACUGUGUGUGUGUGUGUGACAGUCUGCCUGUGACUGUAUAUGUGACUGUCACAUGCAGACAAGCACAUAUACAGUCACAGGCAGACAGUCAUACACACACACAGUUAGAGGCAGACAGUCUCACACACACACACGCACACAUACACAAUUACAGG